AGUAUGCAUGUGUGAGUGGGGGGUGGGAAUGGCGAUGGAUUGAUCGAUCGAUAGUUCGCAAUGGCAGGCGCCGCAGCAGCCACCAAGGUACCGAAGCAGGUGACCAAGAGCCCCAGCAUGGCGCUUUCUUACUUGGUGUCUGUCGCGUCUCUCCUCACUGGUGCUUCCGUUGUGCACAACGUUUUCAAACCCGAUUUGACAAUUCCGGACGUCAGCUCCAAGGGCAUUGAAGUUGCGGACACCAGCAACACCACCAAUUGAGAGGGGCAUCAAUAGGGGGCGCUAAUUGGCGUUCAAAAGUAAAGCUGAUGUGCAGUUUCGCGCUAUGGCAACAGUCGGCAGUUCCAAUCGAUUGUGGCGCUGUGUUAGUGGGAUGUCUCCGUGAAGGUCCUCCCCCGCUUUUGCUGAAGAACUGCGUGAGUUGCUUUCGUAGAUUCUCUCGAAAUAGUCUUCAUUGAGGUGUUAUGCAGUGUUUGUACUUUCACCUCGUUUAAUGUGAGCCUCUUCAAAAACAAACACACAAACACAUAUCUAUCUAUCUAUAUAACUUCAAUUUUCUACACAGUUUAUCA